GGGAAGUUGGCUCAGUGGUAGAGUGUUUGCCUUGCAUGCAUGAAGCCCUGGGUUCGAUUCCUCAGAACCA
rnacentral:tRNA from 1 species